AGGGCGGUGGCUCAAUUGGUAGAGCAGCGGUCUCCAAAACCGCAGGUUGCAGGUUCGAGUCCUGUCCGCCCUGCAA
rnacentral:tRNA from 57 species